AGUGAACGCUGGCGGUAGGCCUAACACAUGCAAGUCGAACGGCAGCACAGUAAGAGCUUGCUCUUACGGGUGGCGAGUGGCGGACGGGUGAGGAAUACAUCGGAAUCUACUUUUUCGUGGGGGAUAACGUAGGGAAACUUACGCUAAUACCGCAUCCGACCUACGGGUGAAAGCAGGGGAUCUUCGGACCUUGCGCGAUUGAAUGAGCCGAUGUCGGCUCAGCUAGUUGGCGGGGGAAAGGCCCACCAAGGCGACGAUACGUAGCUGGUCUGAGAGGAUGAUUCGCCACACUGGAACUGAGACACGGUCCAGACUCCUACGGGAGGAAGCAGUGGGGAAUAUUGGACAAUGGGCGCAAGCGUGAUACAGCCAUACCGAGUGGGUGAAGAAGGCCUUCGGGUUGUAAAGCCCUUUUGUUGGGAAAGAAAAGCAGCAGGUUAAUACCCCGCUGUUCUGACGGUACCCAAAGAAUAAGCACCGGCUAACUUCGUG
rnacentral:rRNA from 1 species